AUUGAACGCUGGCGGCAGGCCUAACACAUGCAAGUCGAACGAGUGGCGGACGGGUGAGUAAUGUCUGGGAACCUGCCUGAUGGAGGGGGAUCACUACUGGACACUGUAGCUACUCCCGCAUACCCUCGGAUGUGCCCAGAUGGGAUUAGCGAGUCGGUGGGGUAACGGCUCACCUAGGCGACGAUCCCUAGCUGGUCUGAGAGGAUGACCAGCCACACUGGAACUGAGACACGGUCCAGACUCCUACGGGAGGCAGCAGUGGGGAAUAUGGCACAAUGGGCGCAAGCCUGAUGCAGCCAUGCCGCGUGUAUGAAGAAGGCCUUCGGGUUGUAAAGUACUGUCAGCGGGGAGGCGUUACCCGCAGAAGAAGCACCGGCUAACUCCGUGCCAGCAGCCGCGGUAAUUC
rnacentral:rRNA from 1 species